rnacentral:rRNA from 1 species
UACAGGGGGUGCAAACGUUGCUCGGAAUUAUUGGGCGUAAAGCGCACGUAGGCGGUUUGUUAUGUCGGAUGUGAAAGCCCUUGGCUCAACUGAGGAAGUGCAUCCGAAACUGGCAAGCUAGAGUAUGUAAGAGGGUCGCGGAGUUCCCGGUGUAGAGGUGAAAUUCGUAGAUAUCGGGAGGAACACCGGUGGCGAAGGCGGCGACCUGGGACAAUACUGACGCUGAGGUGCGAAAGCGUGGGGAGCAAACAGG